GUUGGGAAUUUUGGGCAAUGGGCGCAAGCCUGACCCAGCGACACCGCGUGGGGGACGAAGGCCUUCGGGUCGUAAACCCCUGUCAGGAGGGACGAAGCCGUAAGGUGACGGUACCUCCAGAGGAAGCCCCGGCUAACUACGUGCCAGCAGCCGCGGUAAGACGUAGGGGGCUAGCGUUGUCCGGAAUUACUGGGCGUAAAGCGCGUGCAGGCGGUCUGCUAAGUCCCGUGUGAAAGCCUCCGGCUCAACCGGAGGACGUCGCGGGAUACUGGCGGGCUUGAGGGCGGUAGAGGGUGAUGGAAUUCCCGGUGUAGCGGUGAAAUGCGUAGAUAUCGGGAGGAACGCCAGUGGCGAAGGCGGUCACCUGGGCCGUCCCUGACGCUGAGACGCGAAAGCUGGGGGAGCGAACGGGAUUAGAUACCCGAGUAGUCC
rnacentral:rRNA from 1 species